UAGCGUUAUCCGGAUUUACUGGGCGUAAAGAGUACGUAGGUGGUUUCCUAAGCAUGGGUUUAAGGCAACGGCUUAACCAUUGUUCGCCCCAUGAACUGGGUUACUUGAGUGCUGGAGGGGAAAGCGGAAUUCCUAGUGUAGCGGUGAAAUGCGUAGAUAUUAGGAGGAACACCGGUGGCGAAGGCGGCUUUCUGGACAGUAACUGACACUGAGGUACGAAAGUGUGGGGAGC
rnacentral:rRNA from 1 species